UUAAAUUAAGAAAAUGGGAGGGAUGGAUGAAGUGGCAGAUCCAAGGGAGUGACAGAAAAAGUAAGAGGGAGGGAGAAGAGGAGAAUAGAGAGCAGGACCAAACUCACAUCCUUCUUUUCCUCCAGUGCUCUUUCCCUUCUUUCUCCUUGCGACUCCAGGCUGAGAUCAACAGGAUGCUGUGCCUGGGCUCCCUGUCCACACUCCUCCUCCUGCUUCUCCUCUACCCCCCUCCGGUGUCUGCUCAGGAGGUGCGUGUACGUCUGGCAGGCGUAGGCCGUCGCAAUGCCAACGAGGGACGUGUAGAGGUGUUCUACAAUGGCGCAUGGGGUACAGUGUGUGAUGACGAGGUGGAUCUUAAUAUGGCCAAUGUGGUGUGCCGUCAGCUGGGCUUCCAACGCGGCUUGACCUGGGCACACAGCGCCAAGUUUGGCGAGGGUCAAGGUUUGAUCUGGUUGGACAAUGUGCGCUGUACGGGCACGGAGCUCUCCAUUGCUAACUGUCGCUCCAAUGGUUGGGGAAUCAAUGACUGCACCCACGCUGAGGACCUGGGGGUCAUUUGCAGCCCAGAAAGAAGACCUGGCUCACCCACUGUCUCCGUGGAGGAGGCUCCUUCAUCCUCCAGGCACCAGCCAAACCAGCCAGUACAGAUAAACCCACCACCGCUGCCACAGUCUGUGCCACCCCCAGCCCACAUCUCCUCAUCUUCUGCAAGAGGCCAUGAGAUCGCCCUCCAUCGCAACCCAACUUCUUCCCGUCGCAGCAUCAUCUCCCCGCAAGAAAAUGGCCAUGAGAUCCGGAUCUUGCAACGGAAUCGAGGUGGUUCCAGAGCAAGCCCGCAGGUCAGCUCAGCUCUGCCACAAGGGCACCAGCUACUUUCACGUCUAGCAAACGGCGCAGCCUACAGGCAGAGACAGGACACAGCGAGGAGCGAUCCACAAGCCGUGAGACAAGAGGCAGAGGGACAGACGAACAGGCAGUCCCAACACCAGUCUGAGCGGAGGAGUGACAGGCAUCAGCAGCUCAGUGGGAACCAUGUCGAACCAUAUGUGGAACUGGAGACUGAUGUGCACUACACACAGGGAUCUGAUAGGGUUCACAUAGAGGAGGCUCGACUACGGCCUGUGCUGUCCAGCAACCAUGGCGGUCUGGUGACGGAGGGAGUGCUGGAAGUGAAGCAUGCUGGCAGGUGGCGUCAUGUGUGUAACCAGGGCUGGGACCUCAGCAGCAGCCGUGUCGUCUGUGGCAUGUUAGGAUUCCCUGCUACAGAAGUGUUUGACCAAAACGCCUACAGGAAAUUGUGGGACUCCAAGUUAGCUGAUCCCUCCUCCAGGCUGAGGACGCAGAUCAGUAAGAAGGCCUACUGGGUGGAGAAGGUGCAGUGUCAGGGCAAGGAGGUCUCUCUGUCACAGUGCCAGGCCCAGCUGUCCCUCCCCAGGAGUGAUGUCCCGUGCCGCGAUGGCAUGCACGCUGUGGUCCGCUGUGUCCCUGGGUCCCAGUUCACACGUUAUGGCAGAGCACCUGCACCGCCCGCCGUGACGCCCGUUGUGCGUCUCAAGGCGGGGCCCCGGCUCGGGGAGGGCCGUGUUGAGGUGCUGAGGGAGGGGAAGUGGGGCACCGUGUGUGACCACCUGUGGGACAUGGCUGCAGCCAGCGUGGUCUGCAGAGAGCUGGGCUUUGGGACGGCCAAAGAGGCACUCACCAAAGCUCACCUGGGACAGGGUACCGGCCCCAUCCACAUGAACAGCGUGCAGUGUACAGGCAGGGAGAACUCGAUUACAGAGUGUGCCUACAGACAGGUGCCGCUUUACAGCUGCAAACACAACCAGGAUGUAGCAGUCCGCUGCAACGUUCCCAACACUGGCAUGCAGGCCACGGUGCGUCUGGCAGGAGGCAGAGAACCAUCAGAGGGCCGUGUGGAGGUGCUGAUGGAGGUCGGAGGGGUGAAGCGUUGGGGCUCCAUCUGCAGUGAGAACUGGGGCAUCAACGAGGCCAUGGUGGUCUGUCGACAGCUGGGUUUGGGCUUUGCUUCAAGUGCUCAUCAGGAGACCUGGUACUGGCCUGGUUCUUCAGAUGCUGGUGAGGUGGUUUUGAGUGGAACGCACUGCAUCGGCACUGAGAUGUCUAUCCAGCAGUGUCGCAGAAACACACACGUGUACUGUCCCAGAGGAGGAGCUGGCAGAGCUGCAGGAGUCACAUGUGUAGAAACCGCUCCUGACCUUGUCCUGGAUGCUCAGCUCGUCCAGGAGACGGCCUACCUGGAGGACCGACCCCUCCACCUGCUGUCCUGCGCUAAUGAGGAGAACUGCCUGUCUUCCUCUGCCGCCAGGAUGAACUGGCCCUACGGACACCGCCGCCUGCUGCGCUUCUCCUCCCGUAUCAUGAACAUGGGCCGCGCCGACUUCCGACCCCGAGCCUCCAGAGAAAGUUGGACAUGGCACCAGUGUCAUAGGCACUACCACAGCAUUGAGGUGUUCACCCACUAUGACCUGCUGACGCUCAAUGGGACCAAGGUGGCGGAGGGUCACAAGGCCAGCUUCUGUCUGGAGGACACCUACUGCCCUGAAGGUAUCCAUAAGCGGUAUGCUUGCUAUAACAUGGGACAGCAGGGUAUUUCAGUUGGCUGCUGGGACACCUACCGCCACGAUAUUGACUGCCAGUGGAUCGACAUUACAGACAUACGACCUGGCGAAUACGUCUUCCAGGUGGAGGUCAACCCUUCCUUAGACAUGGCCGAGUCUGAUUUCCAAAACAACGUGAUGCGCUGUCGGUGCAAGUAUGAUGGAGAACGAGUUUACAUGUUUGGAUGCCAUGCAGGUGAUGCUUACAGUGCCGAGGUGGAGGACUUGUUUGACCACCAACGUCAGAUCUCCAACAACUUCCUGUGAAUUAAGGAACACACCGAUUUAAGGACAGAACAACUGUACAACUUCUCACCACACCUCAACAUGUCAGGGGAAAGAGGUUGAAUGACAAUGAUGGGAGGGACUUCAUGCAAAAUGACUAAUUAGGAUCCCGUAACCUGACAGAAAAAGACUAAAGUAAACCAUCACAAGCAUCAUGUCACCAUGAUAAAACAUAGAGUAGCUCACAAUUUUAAAAGUGUGUCCUGACUUUUGUAACAAAUGUAAUUCCCUUGAUCAAAACUUAACCACAAUUAAGAAAGUAAUGACAUGAAGGCACAAUGAGAACAACACAUCCUUUACUUUUACAGUACACCACCAGGCUGUCGUUCAUAUAAAAUCAACCCAGGUAACAGACUUUCUACAAAACUCUGUACAUGCUUCCUGUGCUUUCACUGUUGACAUUACUAAUGCAGUAUUUACUGUUACAACUGUGUGGUUUUUGGUUUGAAUGAGAAUUGUUUUUUAUUUCAUGGUGCUAUUUUGCCUUUUGAAUAAAUAUUGUAAUGUAUUGCAAAUGUAUUGUCAUGUACAGUUUUAUAUUACCUCUCUGGAAUAUUGUUCUUUAGAUCUCUAAUUUAUGCAGAAAUUUAAUGUACUUUUGAGUUGAACCUUGUCCCUGUGUGGCUGUGUUAUGUAUUGUUUAUUUUAUGAUGACAAAUAUUUUCACUUGUUUGUUUUUCACCUGUUCAGCAUCGGAAACAUCAGAUGAGAUGUGGUUGUACCACGGUAUUGCGCCUUUAACAGUACUUGGUAAUGGUAGUUAAAGAAUAAACGUCAAAUUGACAAACUAUGGUUA